AGAGUUUGAUCCUGGCUCAGGAUGAACGCUGGCGGCGUGCUUGAUACAUGCAAGUCGAACGGUUGAGCGGUGGGCGGAGGACCUGGAAGACGUGGAAUAUGAGAAAUCGUAGGAAGCGUUGGAAGGGGAAGAAGCUCUGAGCUUGGCAGUGGCGGACGGGUGAGUAACACGUAGGAAUCUGCCCCGAGGUGGGGAAUAACUGACCGAAAGGUUAGCUAAUUCCGCAUAAGAUCCGGAAGGAUGAAAGGCUUAGGUCGCCUUGGGAUGAGCCUGCGGCCGAUUAGCUAGUUGGUGGGGUAAUGGCCCACCAAGGCGAUGAUCGGUAGCUGACCUGAGAGGGUUAUCCCCCACACUGGUACUGAGACACGGACCAGACUCCUACGGGAGGCAGCAGUGAGGAAUAUUGGUCAAUGGGGGAAACCCUGACGCAGCGACGCCGCGUGUGGGAAGAAGGCCUUCGGGUCGUAAACCACUGUCAAGAGGGAAGAACCGCAUAGGGUCGAAUAGGCCUUGUGCCUGACGGUACCUCUGGAGGAAGCACCGGCUAACUCCGUGCCAGCAGCCGCGGUAAUACGGAGGAUCCGAGCGUUAUCCGGAUUUAUUGGGUUUAAAGGGUGCGUAGGUGGAUUGAUAAGUCAGUGGUGAAAGUUUGCAGCUUAACUGUAAAAUUGCCGUUGAAACUGUCGGUCUUGAGUGCAAAUGAGGUAGGCGGAAUGUGUUGUGUAGCGGUGAAAUGCUUAGAUAUAACACAGAACUCCGAUUGCGAAGGCAGCUUACUGGGAUGCAACUGACACUGAUGCACGAAAGCGUGGGUAUCAAACAGGAUUAGAUACCCUGGUAGUCCACGCAGUAAACGAUGGAUACUAGCUGUUGGGAGCAAUCUCAGUGGCUAAGCGAAAGUGAUAAGUAUCCCACCUGGGGAGUACGUUCGCAAGGCUGAAACUCAAAGGAAUUGACGG
rnacentral:rRNA from 1 species